rnacentral:lncRNA from 7 species
UGGAAGAACUGAGAGGAGACGGGCGAACGGUUGUGAGAAUCUCUUUAAGGGGCAGUCCUGGAAUGAGUGAAGGUUUGAACGCUUUUCUUAAAAUCAGAGUCCCGGGAAAUUUUCAUUUUUUCUUCGGUUUUGGCGCCGUGCACCGCUGACUCCUGGCCGCCUGUCUCUCCUAUGGCCUGGCAUCUUCACAGAUGCAGAUUUUGAAAAUGCAUUUCUCCUUUAUCUGAGAGCCCCUCCUGCCCCCUCCUCCAGGACCGACACACUAUGCGUGGAACCUGUGAUGCUAGGCCAUCCUUCCUAUGGUUUGACAUAUUGUCUCACCAGUAAAGGGUAGAGCUGGAACCCACCAUGAAAUCCUGGCCCAGCAAAAUACGUGCCCUAGAGAAGAAGGACCACAAACUCAAGACAUGCUUCUGGGCCGGAGAGUUCCUGACCUCACUAUGCUGCCUGCGCAUGUUCUUGAACUUCGGAUUCUCUUGCUUCUCCUUCUCCCCCCCGCCCCCGACCCCCAGUGCUGGGAUCACAGGACUGCACCCCUAAGCCUGGCUUACAUACUGCUGUGGGUGGAGCUCAGGGCCUACUGUGCUCCAGCUGACAACCAAGCCCCAGCUGACAACCAAGCCCCAUCCUUAGCUCUAGUCCUUCACGUUGACUCUGCCUCACCUCUCAGAGAAAGAUGCUCUGUGGCCUGGAGCUUUUCCGGACUGUGUUUGACAACUGGAGUCAUUCCUAGAGCUUGCGCAGUAGACCAGGCUACUAGGCUACUACUACUAGCAGCCUCUGCUUCUGCCUCUUGAGUGCUGGGACUAAAGGCAUGAGCCAUCACUGCCCAGUAGCAUAUAUAUACAUAUAUGGAGCUGGAGAGAUGGCUCAGUGGUUAAAAGCACUUGUUGCUCUUGCUGAGGACCUGAGUUCAAUUCCCAGCCUACACAGUUGCUUACAUGCUUACAGCCAUCCAUAACUCCAGUUCCUGGGGAUAUGAUACCCUCUUCAGACCUCCUCAAGCACCAGGCACAUACAUAGUACACAUAUAUACACUCAUACACAAAAAGUAAAUUUUUAAAAA